rnacentral:tRNA from 1 species
GGCGCGAUAGCAAAAUGGUUAUGCCGCGGAUUGCAAAUCCGUUUAUCCCGGUUCGAUUCCGGGUCGCGCCUCCA